AAAAACAAUGUGAAAUGAUAGCUGAUUAACAAGGGUGUAGAAGCACCUAACCCUGAUUGUAAGCCUACAACAGAUAUUUCCUGAGAAGUUAUUCCUCAGUUCUGAUUGGUUGAUUGGAAUGUUGAUCCAGGAACAUGUUGUACUUGGU